rnacentral:rRNA from 1 species
AACGAACGCUGGCGGCAUGCCUAACACAUGCAAGUCGAACGAGACCUUCGGGUCUAGUGGCGCACGGGUGCGUAACGCGUGGGAAUCUGCCCUUGGGUUCGGAAUAACUCGCCGAAAGGCGUGCUAAUACCGGAUGAUGUCGUAAGACCAAAGAUUUAUCGCCCAGGGAUGAGCCCGCGUAAGAUUAGGUAGUUGGUGAGGUAAAAGCUCACCAAGCCAACGAUCUGUAGCUGGUCUGAGAGGACGACCAGCCACACUGGGACUGAGACACGGCCCAG